GGGCGUAGCUCAGCUUGGUAGAGCGCACGGUUCGGGACCGUGAGGUCGGAGGUUCAAAUCCUC
rnacentral:tRNA from 1 species